UACAGAGGGUGCAAGCGUUAAUCGGAAUUAUUGGGCGUAAAGGGCGCGUAGGCUGGAGAAUAAGUCAAAUGUGAAAGACCGGAGCUCAACUCCGGAACCGCAUAUGAUACUGUUCUUCUAGAGGGUAGUUGGGGAAAGCGGAAUUCCACGUGUAGCGGUGAAAUGCGUAGAUAUGUGGAAGAACACCGGUGGCGAAGGCGGCUUUCUAAAUUACACCUGACGCUGAGGCGCGAAAGCAAGGGGAGCAAACAGGAUUAGAUACCCUGGUAGUCCUUGCUGUAAACGAUGUGUACUAGAUGUAGUUGGGCUCAACCCCGAUCGUGUCGUAGCGAACGCGUUAAGUACACCGCCUGAGUAGUACGCUCGCAAGUGUGAAACUCAAAAGAAUUGACGGGGGCCCGCACAAGCAGUGGAGCAUGUGGUUUAAUUCGAUGCUACACGAAGAACCUUACCCAGGCUUGACAUAUAUAGGACAGUUCCAGAAAUGGGAUCUCCCGCAAGGGCCUAUAAACAGGUGCUGCAUGGCUGUCGUCAGCUCGUGCCGUGAGGUGUUGGGUUAAGUCCCGCAACGAGCGCAACCCUUAUCAUCAGUUGCCAACACGUAAUGGUGGGGACUCUGAUGAGACUGCCCGGGUUAACCGGGGGGAAGGUGAGGAUGACGUCAAGUCAGCAUGGCCCUUAUGCCUGGGGCUACACACGUGCUACAAUGGCCGGUACAGAAGGCAGCGAAGUCGAGAGAUGGAGCGAAUCCCCAAAGCCGGCCCCAGUUCAGAUUGCAGUCUGCAACUCGACUGCAUGAAGUCGGAAUUGCUAGUAAUGGCGAGUCAGCUAUAUCGCCGUGAAUACGUUCCCGGGCCU
rnacentral:rRNA from 1 species